CUCUGCACACUGCUGAGUUAGCUGAUUUGUAGCUAUAGACUUCAGUUUAUCUUCAUUAAUCUUUAGCUUUUCUAUCUCAUUACCCAUACUAUCCACUUUCAUUGAAAGCGUAGUUAGGGUGUUGAGUAUUUUUUCUAGAGUAUCCUCUUCUAUUAUAUCAGUCUGUGUAGCUUUGUCUUGAUAUGUAAUCUGCAAUAACAUUUUUGUUAGUACUGAUCACUUCAAUUGUAAAUGUGAAAUUUAAUAUAUU
rnacentral:lncRNA from 1 species